CUUCAAAGCAAUGUAGGAACGCUUCUGAUUCCGAGAAUAAAAGGUACCUACUUUUAAUGUGAAAUUUGGCCUGAAAUUCUUGAUUUAAGUGACUGUUGGAGGUUUCGGAUGGUAUUCCCCAUUUAUCUUCCUUGUAAAUAUAUAUUAAAGCUUGCAGAAAUCUUUUUGAGAGCUUACCUGCGACACUGAAUCGAUUUGUUGUUUAACAACUCUCAAAUUGGAAGCUUGCAACUUAUAGAGAUGCGGGGACGCUUUUGAUGCCAUUGCCAAGAAUAGAAGCUCUGAUAUUCUGUCAGCAGUCAUAAGCUUUGGCUGAUGAAGGCAGUGUGUUGUCUAUUGACUAUUGUGUAUAUCCGUAGUAAGUCAACAAGCCCUAAUCCCAGCUCCAUGAGCUCGGAGGAAACUUUGGAUCCACGCUCUGUUGGCGGAAACAGUAUGAUCUGUGACCGUGUGGUUAAUCGUAAUGCAUAGAAGGGACUGGUGGUGAAAGAUGGAGAAGAUGUACUAGGUAUAUGAUUUUGGCAAACACAGCUGCAUCACAUCAGAAGAUGCGGAGUUCGUUUCUUUAUAUACCAAUCGUGAGGAGGUGCAAACCAAAGCAUGGCGCAGCCUAAAAAAUCAUCAUGAAAACCCUGAGGCGGAAGUUGUUGGCAAAUUACAGUCACUGGCGGGGUUUCACUCAAUUGAUAGCGAAAAAUACUGGUAUUGUGUAUACUGGUAGCAAUUCACCAUGCCCUGAUCCCACUUCCUUGUUUUGGAAGCAACUUUGAAUUGCUGCGUUGUUGCUGGGAGGAUUGUGAUCUGUGACCGUGGGGUUAGUCCGAAACGCAGAAGGGACAGGUGGUAUGAAAUGCAUGGGGACUAGGUAUGAUCUUGGUAAACACAGGUUGCAAAUGGAAAGGGAGGUUGUUGCAGAUUACCAACUUGUUCCUGCUUUUGACACUUCACAGAACUGUCGCCAACGUUAGCCCUCCGGUUCCAAAUUACCACGCCAUAGUUUCGCCGUUGGAAGGUGCUUUCGUGAAAGUCGAGCCUCAGACGCUGAAAUGUAGAAUUAUCCAUGUUCAAAUUCAAAUCACAUUGAUGUUGAUCAAAACUAGAUUACAAUAAUUUCAUAAUUGUUCAGUUUCC